rnacentral:rRNA from 1 species
CCCUCAGAUGUUCUGGGCCGCACGCGCGCUACACUGAUGCAUUCAACGAGCCUAUCCUUGACCGACAGGUCCGGGUAAUCUUUGAAUCUGCAUCGUGACGGGGAUAGAUUAUUGCAAUUAUUAAUCUUCAACGAGGAAUGCCUAGUAGGCGCAAGUCAUCAGCUUGCGUCGAUUACGUCCCUGCCCUUUGUACACACCGCCCGUCGCUCCUACCGAUUGGGUGUGCUGGUGAAAUGUUCGGAUCGGCCGUUUGUCGCGGUUUCCGCGGCUCGUGGCUGAGAAGUUCAUUAAACCCUCCCACCUAGAGGAAGGAGAAGUCGUAACA